GUCGUCAAGGAGGAACUCUGAGGAGUCCAACGGAUGGAUGGUGAUCUCUGUGGAAGAGAAGCCCUCCAGAGAUGGAACAGCAGGAUAAGAAAUCCAGAAUUCGUGGUUAGAUUUGAAAACUUGAUCUUCAGCAUCUGAUCACUUGACAAUUCAUCAAAGAUUUUUCUUGAUCAGAGAUAAUUAAGGAUGACUGCUGGAAACACCUAAGUAACAAGGACAAACGGAAAGGGGAAGAGUACUGAACCCAGGCUGGAAAAGGGAUCUGGUCUGUGAAUAAGAUACCUGAAGAUGUAAGCUGAAAGCAGAGUAGCUGACCUUCAAGAAUUUCUGCAACCUGUCCAAAAACAACAUUUAGGGUGAGAAAUGGCUACUUGUAACCAGUUUCUUUGAGAUCUUAAGCUUAGUAUGCAUGUUUUGUUUUAUUUGCUUGGUAAUCUGCUUUAAUCUGUUUGCUAUCCCUUAUAAUCACUUAAAAUCUGCCUUUUGUAGUUAAUAAACUCAUUUUUGUUUACUAUGAAACCCAGUUUGUGCAAUUUAUAACUGGGGGAGCGGGGCAAGAAGCUGUGCAUAUCUUCCUCCACAUUGAGUUUAUGAACUUACACUGUAUAGAUUUCUCUACAGGAACAAUAACGUCAGUGG